CCAGAUGUCUUGUCAAAGCCUGAUCUUGGUAGAUCUCAGAAGCUAAACAAGACCGGCCGGGUUAGUAUUUGGAUUGGAGACUGCUGGGAAUAUCAGGUG
rnacentral:rRNA from 1 species